rnacentral:rRNA from 1 species
GACGAACGCAGGCGGCGUGCCUAAUACAUGCAAGUAGAACGCUGAAGGGAGAGCUUGCUCUUCUGGAUGAGUUGCGAACGGGUGAGUAACGCGUAGGUAACCUGCCUGGUAGCGGGGGAUAACUAUUGGAAACGAUAGCUAAUACCGCAUAACAUUGACUAUUGCAUGAUAGUUAAUUGAAAGGUGCAAAUGCACCACUACCAGAUGGACCUGCGUUGUAUUAGCUAGUUGGUGGGGUAACGGCUCACCAAGGCGACGAUACAUAGCCGACCUGAGAGGGUGAUCGGCCACACUGGGACUGAGACACGGCCCAGACUCCUACGGGAGGCAGCAGUAGGGAAUCUUCGGCAAUGGACGGAAGUCUGACCGAGCAACGCCGCGUGAGUGAAGAAGGUUUUCGGAUCGUAAAGCUCUGUUGUAAGAGAAGAACGAGUG